CUGAUACCAGUAACUUGGAAGAAUGUAAUGUAUUAUAAAUUAUACAGUAACGAUUAAUUCGUAUAAAAUUCUAAAUAGGAUAAUGAUAAUGACAAUUUCCUAUUUAUAAGUCUUGACCAAAUUACGUGCCAGCAGUCGCGGUAAUACGUAGAAGACUAGUGUUAGUCAUCUUUAUUAGGUUUAAAGGGUACCUAGACGGUAAAUAACACUUUAAUAGAGUACUUAUUUGCUAGAGUUUUAUAAGAGAAGGAAGAACUUCUGGAGUAGUGAUAAAAUACUUUGAUACCAGAGGGACUGGUAACGGCGAAGGCAUCUUUUUAUGUUAAAACUGACGUUGAGGCGACGAAGGCUUGGGUAGCAUAUAAGGAUUAGAUACCCUAGUAGUCCAAGCAGAAAAUGAUGAAUGUCAUAGGCUAGAUAACGAAUUUAGCCUAUAAAUGAAAGUGUAAGCAUUCCACCUCAAGAGUACUAUGGCAACAUAUAAACUGAAAUCAUUAGACCGUUUCUGAAACCAGUAGUGAAGUAUGAGU
rnacentral:rRNA from 1 species